UUGAAAGAGAGACGAUGGAAAAACGCUGAGAUGGAAAGAAUAGCGGCAUAGCCCCUUUGUAUGCAGGAUCAUUGUAAUUAUUUCUCAUUUUCUGAUUCUAGCUUAUGCUUUAUUUUAGCCUGUUGGACGAAUCCUUGAAUGAUUUCAGAAGCUACAGAAGAUCCAACAAACUUGCUCAUCAUGCCAUGGAGUUUGCUUGCAAAUUCAAAAUCCACCUCUAAAUCAACACGAACACGUCCCCGAGAUGCCUCUUCAAUACUCCAAUGUGUUUUAAGC